AGCGAACGCUGGCGGCAGGCCUAACACAUGCAAGUCGAACGAACUCUUCGGAGUUAGUGGCGGACGGGUGAGUACACGUGGGAACGUGCCUUUUGGUUCGGAAUAACUCAGGGAAACUUGUGCUAAUACCGAAUGUGCCCUUCGGGGGAAAGAUUUAUCGCCAUUAGAGCGGCCCGCGUCUGAUUAGCUAGUUGGUGAGGUAACGGCUCACCAAGGCGACGAUCAGUAGCUGGUCUGAGAGGAUGACCAGCCACACUGGGACUGAGACACGGCCCAGACUCCUACGGGAGGCAGCAGUGGGGAAUCUUGCGCAAUGGGCGAAAGCCUGACGCAGCCAUGCCGCGUGAAUGAUGAAGGUCUUAGGAUUGUAAAAUUCUUUCACCGGGGACGAUAAUGACGGUACCCGGAGAAGAAGCCCCGGCUAACUUCGUG
rnacentral:rRNA from 1 species